rnacentral:lncRNA from 1 species
UGGGUGCAAUAUAAAAGUGAUUGUUGAACACAUGAGACACAAUACACGUGCAAAUCAAACACACGCAUUCUCCGUCACUCUCCCGCUCAUUCACACCAAAUCCACAUCUCACUCAAUCCAGAAAAUCUCACCUGCUAAUUCUCCCACGCCACUUUCUGUUCUAAUUGUGAAUUCUCCCUCACGGUGCCUCUAACCAAAAAUCUUACAAAAAAUGAGUAUGUUUGAAAUAAAAAUGUAUUUCUAGAACUAACUGGAUAAUCGGAUAAAAUAGUACCUUUGUGAAAACUAGCAAGAGUUUUCCUCUCAGAUUCAUUCUGAAGCUGUAGCUCAGUUGUGUUUGUGUUUCUAUUAAAGCUGUUACUAGUGAUGAUAAUGUUCGGAAAAUUUAUGGAAUUUAAAGUAAUGGAACAGAGAAUAUGUAAGAGCUUUUGUGGCUGCAAAAACUUUUAAAAUAAAACUUACAAUUUAAAGGGUUACAGAUGUGGUAUUCAUACAUUAUUGGCCACAAUCUUGUUAACUUGAUGGGUCUACCGUUCCUUGCAUUCAGAAGAGCCAAACCCUCAAGAGUUGUAACAUGUAUCCACCUCAUCCGCUUCAAACUUGAAAUGCCAAACUACACUUGUCUGUGCAGCAAUCUCUUGGAAUUGUCUUUAAUUUCAUUCUUAUGCAGAAUUUUUUUUUUUUUUUCACAAUCCAGAUUAUUAUUUUUAAAUUUCAAUAUUUUUUUAUUCUUUUUUUCUCACCAGCUGCGAAGAGACCCACGGCGAGAGAGAGGGAGAGAGAGAGAGAGUAAACGGAGACCAGAGAGAGAGCGGAUGGAGAAACAGAAAAAGAGACUGUCGACGGAGAGAGUACAAAGCGGUGAGAUUUGCGUGAGAGAGGUUGCACGCGUGUUGUGGUGCUUAUGUGUGUGUCAUGUGAGAUGGGGCUACGGAGACAUUUUAUGGCGUGCCCAAAACG